UACAGAGGUCUCAAGCGUUGUUCGGAUUCAUUGGGCGUAAAGGGUGUGUAGGUGGCGCGCUAAGUCGGGUGUGAAAUUUCGGAGCUUAACUCCGAAACUGCAUUCGAUACUGGCGUGCUUGAGGACUGGAGAGGAGACUGGAAUUCAUGGUGUAGCAGUGAAAUGCGUAGAGAUCAUGAGGAAGACCAGUGGCGAAGGCGGGUCUCUGGACAGUUCCUGACACUGAGACACGAAAGCGUGGGGAGCGAACAGG
rnacentral:rRNA from 1 species